GCGAUGGCCACGCCGAAUCCUGCGGACCCGCGAGGUUCGGGGAACCGGGAACCAUCUUCUCCACUGGGGUGAAUCCGCUUGCCCCGAGUGGUAGGGCGAACCCGGCAGCUCACCCUGUAGGCGGCACAGGCUGGGCUU
rnacentral:sRNA from 2 species